rnacentral:sRNA from 1 species
AGCUGAGGCACUUGAUGGCCACCUCCCAGUGCCAUCGCUUCAGCUGUUCCCCUCUGGAGGUUUCAGAACCUUCACACCUACGAGGCCCCGGCGCAUGCUGUGGGCCUUUUUU